ensembl:rRNA 5S_rRNA 5S ribosomal RNA
CAUAACAUGUUAUACAUAACCCUGAAUGCGCCCGAUCUCAUCUGAUCUCGGAAGCUAAGCAGGGUCGGGCCUGGUUAGUACUUGGAUGGGAGACUGAUAUUUUGUAGUGUUGUGA